rnacentral:pre_miRNA from 1 species
UUCUGGUGCCAUCUUACUUUACAGCAUUAGAUUUGUACGAACAUUUUCUAAUACUGUCAGGUAAAGAUGUCCACAAA